GACGAACGCUGGCGGCGUGCCUAAUACAUGCAAGUAGAACGCUGAAGAGAGGAGCUUGCUCUUCUUGGAUGAGUUGCGAACGGGUGAGUAACGCGUAGGUAACCUGCCUUGUAGCGGGGGAUAACUAUUGGAAACGAUAGCUAAUACCGCAUAACAAUGGAUGACACAUGUCAUUUAUUUGAAAGGGGCAAUUGCUCCACUACAAGAUGGACCUGCGUUGUAUUAGCUAGUAGGUGAGGUAACGGCUCACCUAGGCGACGAUACAUAGCCGACCUGAGAGGGUGAUCGGCCACACUGGGACUGAGACACGGCCCAGACUCCUACGGGAGGCAGCAGUAGGGAAUCUUCGGCAAUGGGGGCAACCCUGACCGAGCAACGCCGCGUGAGUGAAGAAGGUUUUCGGAUCGUAAAGCUCUGUUGUAAGUCAAGAACGAGUGUGAGAGUGGAAAGUUCACACUGUGACGGUAGCUUACCAGAAAGGGACGGCUAACUACGUGCCAGCAGCCGCGGUAAUACGUAGGUCCCGAGCGUUGUCCGGAUUUAUUGGGCGUAAAGCGAGCGCAGGCGGUUUGAUAAGUCUGAAGUUAAAGGCUGUGGCUCAACCAUAGUUCGCUUUGGAAACUGUCAAACUUGAGUGCAGAAGGGGAGAGUGGAAUUCCAUGUGUAGCGGUGAAAUGCGUAGAUAUAUGGAGGAACACCGGUGGCGAAAGCGGCUCUCUGGUCUGUAACUGACGCUGAGGCUCGAAAGCGUGGGGAGCGAACAGGAUUAGAUACCCUGGUAGUCCACGCCGUAAACGAUGAGUGCUAGGUGUUGGAUCCUUUCCGGGAUUCAGUGCCGCAGCUAACGCAUUAAGCACUCCGCCUGGGGAGUACGACCGCAAGGUUGAAACUCAAAGGAAUUGACGGGGGCCCGCACAAGCGGUGGAGCAUGUGGUUUAAUUCGAAGCAACGCGAAGAACCUUACCAGGUCUUGACAUCCCGAUGCUAUUUCUAGAGAUAGAAAGUUACUUCGGUACAUCGGUGACAGGUGGUGCAUGGUUGUCGUCAGCUCGUGUCGUGAGAUGUUGGGUUAAGUCCCGCAACGAGCGCAACCCCUAUUGUUAGUUGCCAUCAUUCAGUUGGGCACUCUAGCGAGACUGCCGGUAAUAAACCGGAGGAAGGUGGGGAUGAUGUCAAAUCAUCAUGCCCCUUAUGACCUGGGCUACACACGUGCUACAAUGGUUGGUACAACGAGUUGCGAGUCGGUGACGGCAAGCUAAUCUCUUAAAGCCAAUCUCAGUUCGGAUUGUAGGCUGCAACUCGCCUACAUGAAGUCGGAAUCGCUAGUAAUCGCGGAUCAGCACGCCGCGGUGAAUACGUUCCCGGGCCU
rnacentral:rRNA from 1 species